AUGUAUGAAGAAACUGACUAUGUACGCGAGUUACAGAAUAGCUACUGUACAAGGCUUUUGCGGCGCUUUGAGCUCAUCCACAGUCUCAGAUUCCAACUUGUGAAUGAUCUGGAGGACAUUAUUACUAACCAACAGUACCUGAUGGAAGACAUUACCAGGCUCCCAGACAUUACAUUCAUGUUCCUGGAUAUAACAGGAAACGGGCAUUCCUUUGGACCCAGUUCAUUCCAUCUUCUCAGGAUGUGUACUGGUUUGAGAAAGUUGUCUCUUACAUUUUGUGGCACAACUAGACGCCCGGAGACUCUGUGCCCAUCAGGUUGUGUUUGUGAUCAGCCACCAAGCUGGAAAACCAAAGAACUCGCGCUGAAUUGCCUCCGAGAAGUAGAAGUCUGUAACUUGAUAGGAACUGAACAUGAAGCUGCUCUUGUAGAACGGUUAUUCGUUUGGGCAACAGUGCUACAAAAGAUGACAGUAACUUUCCAUUGCUCAGUCGCUGAAAGCAAGGCCAAGGAGUUCUGCCAGAUGCUUCAAAGUUUCUCUAGGCCAGAAAUAUCUAUGAAGGGGCAACAUUUUGCCUAA
rnacentral:rRNA from 1 species